UAAUCUGGGGAAAGAAAUGCCACAAAUCUCAUUAAUAACAAGUAGUUAUUUGUUCCUUGUUACAGGAUCUGAAAACAAGGGAGAUGCACAGCAGUGUGGAGCCAGUGCACUGAAAAAAAUCAGAGGAAAGCACACACCGAGAAGGAACAUACACGUGUGUGUCUUUACCAGAUCCUUCUAACGUUAAUACACCUUUCAGUGGAAACAAGCUAUGCUUUCAUUCCUGGUCCUUCACAGCUCUCGCCUGCUCCACUCAAGCCCAGGAGAGCUGGCUGACACCGAACACAGGCAACACUGCAUGCUAUUUGUAACCAUGUGACAAAGUCCCCAGACGGGUUCAGUUAGUUCUCAUGGAGCACCGCAGGACUCACCUGCUGAAUCAUCUCCUCGAACUUUUCCUUUUCGUACUUCUGCAGGGCUUUGUAGUCCUCCACAGAGGUCACAUCCAGCUUGUGCUUGGUCUUUGGCUUCGGUGGCUCAAACGGACACGUGAGAAUCGCAAUCUUAGCAUCUUUCACUUGCUGUGGGGAAGAAAGGACCCCUAAGUGGUGGUGUAGUCAGAAGCAGUGCCCAGGUGUAAGAGCACUGACUUACUUUAGGCAUCUGUGGGUGGCUGAAGUCCUUAUCCACGAUCACACCCUUUAUAAGUUUGGUGUCCUCCAGCCUCCCGCCCACUUUGCCUUCCACUUUGAUGAGCUCAAAGUCAACGUCUCUCCGCUCCAUAUCUGCCACUGUGAGGACGGCGUUCACAGCGAUCUCAGCCAUUUGUCGAUGACAGCUGUUAACCCUGAUGAAAACAAACAAUUUUCACAUUCCUCAAACCAUCACCACAGGCAACUCAACAAAACUCCCAGGAAAAUUAGUGCUGCUUUCCAAGUCCAGAGCCAACUCGGGAUAAUAACGGCCUAGGCAAAACAGUAACCAUGAGCCAUAUGAACCCUUUAUGAUCUGAACCGAUUCUACUUACAAGUCUUGAGACCUAAGUGAUUGUCCAUCUGGUGGUGCCCAGGUCCAUCUGAAAGCAGGAUCCUUGGUGAUCUACUCGAAUACUAACUACAUUAUUUUAGCUUCA